rnacentral:rRNA from 1 species
CCUACGGGUGGCAGCAGUGGGGAAUAUUGGACAAUGGGCGAAAGCCUGAUCCAGCCAUGCCGCGUGUGUGAAGAAGGCCUUCGGGUUGUAAAGCACUUUCAGUGGGGAAGAAAGCCUUGGGGCUAAUACCCUCGAGGAAGGACAUCACCCACAGAAGAAGCACCGGCUAACUCCGUGCCAGCAGCCGCGGUAAUACGGAGGGUGCGAGCGUUAAUCGGAAUUACUGGGCGUAAAGCGCGCGUAGGCGGUCUGAUAAGCCGGUUGUGAAAGCCCCGGGCGCAACCUGGGAACGGCAUCCGGAACUGUCAGGCUAGAGUGCAGGAGAGGAAGGUAGAAUUCCCUGUGUAGCGGUGAAAUGCGUAGAGAACGGGAGGAAUACCAGUGGCGAAGGCGGCCUUCUGGACUGACACUGACGCUGAGGUGCGAAAGCGUGGGUAGCAAACAGGAUUAGAUACCCUUGUAGUC